AACGAACGCUGGCGGCGUGCCUAACACAUGCAAGUCGAACGUGAUUGGAAGCUUGCUUCCAUGAAAGUGGCGCACGGGUGAGUAACGCGUAGAUAAUCUACCUGAUGGAUCGGGAUAACACUUCGAAAGGGGUGCUAAUACCGGAUAAGCCCACGGAGUCCUUGGACACUGCGGGAAAAGGGGGGGACCUUCGGGCCUUCCGGCAUCAGAUGAGUCUGCGUAACAUUAGCUAGUUGGUGGGGUAAAGGCCUACCAAGGCGAAGAUGGUUAGCUGGUCUGAGAGGAUGAUCAGCCACAGUGGAACUGAGACACGGUCCAGACUCCUACGGGAGGCAGCAGUGGGGAAUUUUGCGCAAUGGGGGAAACCCGGACGCAGCAACGCCGCGUGGGUGAUGAAGGCCCUUGGGUCGUAAAGCUCUGACAGAGGGAAAGAAAUGCAGGGGGGCUAAUAUCCCUUUUGCUUGACGGUACCCUCAAAGGAAGCACCGGCUAACUCCGUGCCAGCAGCCGCAGUAAGAC
rnacentral:rRNA from 1 species